rnacentral:tRNA from 1 species
UGCGGAUUGAUGUAAUAGCAACAUACCUGACUCAUGACCAGACAAUUAAGGUGCAACUCCUUAAUCCGCAC